rnacentral:rRNA from 1 species
ACUCAAAUGAAUAGACGGGGACCCGCACAAGCGGUGGAUUAUGUGGAUUAAUUCGAUGCAACGCGAAAAACCUUACCUACCCUUGACAUGUCCGAGAGCCCGCUGAGAGGUGGGUGUGCCCGAAAGGGAAUCGGAACACAGGUGCUGCAUGGCUGUCGUCAGCUCGUGUCGUGAGAUGUUGGGUUAAGUCCCGCAACGAGCGCAACCCUUGUCAUUAGUUGCUACCGCAAGGAGCACUCUAAUGAGACUGCCGGUGACAAACCGGAGGAAGGUGGGGAUGACGUCAAGUCCUCAUGGCCCUUAUGGGUAGGGCUUCACACGUAAUACAAUGGCGCGUACAGAGGGUUGCCAAGGGGCGACCUGGAGCCAAUCCCUUAAAGCGCGUCGUAGUCCGGAUAGGAGUCUGCAACUCGACUCCUUGAAGUCGGAAUCGCUAGUAAUCGCGGAUCAGCAUGUCGCGGUGAAUACGUUCCCGGGUCUUGCACACACCGCCCGU